CACAGAUAAUGAACUUAUUGAGGGGUGGACAGAGACUGUGUGCUGACUGUCAUGUUCUAAUUUG
rnacentral:snoRNA from 1 species